rnacentral:rRNA from 1 species
GUGUCAGCCGCCGCGGUAAUACAGAGGUCCCAAGCGUUGUUCGGAUUCACUGGGCGUAAAGGGUGCGUAGGUGGCAGGGUAAGUUUGAUGUGAAAUCCCCGGGCUCAACCCGGGAACUGCAUUGAAUACUCUCCUGCUUGAGGAUCGGAAGGGAGACUGGAAUUCUCGGUGUAGCAGUGAAAUGCGUAGAUAUCGAGAGGAACACCAGUGGCGAAGGCGAGUCUCUGGACGAUUCCUGACACUGAGGCACGAAAGCUAGGGGAGCAAACAGGAUUAGAAACCCCUGUAGUCC